GAUGGCGGAACCGACCCAUCGGAGUCGCCUUGCAGGAGGGGGCUUCAAAUCACCCAAAGGUGCUAUAGCCAUGGUACUGAGCGUUUGGGAAAAGAUUUCACCAAGAGUGGGAUCAGGU
rnacentral:ncRNA from 1 species